GAUGAACGCUAGCGGCAGGCUUAAUACAUGCAAGUCGAGGGACAGCACAGGUAGCAAUACUGGGUGGUAACCGGCAAACGGGUGCGGAACACGUACACAACCUUCCUUUAAGUGGGGGAUAGCCCAGAGAAAUUUGGAUUAAUACCCCGUAAUAUAGUUGAAUGGCAUCAUUUGAUUAUUAUAGCUACGGCGCUUAAUGAUGGGUGUGCGGCUGAUUAGAUAGUUGGCGGGGUAACGGCCCACCAAGUCUACGAUCAGUAGCUGAUGUGAGAGCAUGAUCAGCCACACGGGCACUGAGACACGGGCCCGACUCCUACGGGAGGCAGCAGUAAGGAAUAUUGGUCAAUGGACGCAAGUCUGAACCAGCCAUGCCGCGUGAAGGAUUAAGGUCCUCUGGAUUGUAAACUUCUUUUAUUUGGGACGAAAAAGGGCCUUUCUAGGUCAACUGACGGUACCAGAUGAAUAAGCACCGGCUAACUCCGUGCCAGCAGCCGCAGUAA
rnacentral:rRNA from 1 species